AGAGUUUGAUCCUGGCUCAGGACGAACGCUGGCGGCGUGCCUAAUACAUGCAAGUCGAACGCACUCUCGUUUAGAUUGAAGGAGCUUGCUCCUGAUUGAUAAACAUUUGAGUGAGUGGCGGACGGGUGAGUAACACGUAGGUAACCUGCCCUAAAGUGGGGGAUAACAUUUGGAAACAGAUGCUAAUACCGCAUAAAACCUAACACCGCAUGGUGUAGGGUUGAAAGAUGGUUUCGGCUAUCACUUUAGGAUGGACCCGCGGUGCAUUAGUUAGUUGGUGAGGUAAAGGCUCACCAAGACCGUGAUGCAUAGCCGACCUGAGAGGGUAAUCGGCCACACUGGGACUGAGACACGGCCCAGACUCCUACGGGAGGCAGCAGUAGGGAAUCUUCCACAAUGGACGAAAGUCUGAUGGAGCAACGCCGCGUGAGUGAAGAAGGUUUUCGGAUCGUAAAACUCUGUUGUUGGAGAAGAAUGUAUCUGAUAGUAACUGAUCAGGUAGUGACGGUAUCCAACCAGAAAGCCACGGCUAACUACGUGCCAGCAGCCGCGGUAAUACGUAGGUGGCAAGCGUUGUCCGGAUUUAUUGGGCGUAAAGCGAGCGCAGGCGGUUUCUUAAGUCUGAUGUGAAAGCCUUCGGCUCAACCGAAGAAGUGCAUCGGAAACUGGGAAACUUGAGUGCAGAAGAGGACAGUGGAACUCCAUGUGUAGCGGUGAAAUGCGUAGAUAUAUGGAAGAACACCAGUGGCGAAGGCGGCUGUCUGGUCUGUAACUGACGCUGAGGCUCGAAAGCAUGGGUAGCAAACAGGAUUAGAUACCCUGGUAGUCCAUGCCGUAAACGAUGAGUGCUAGGUGUUGGAGGGGUUCCCCCCCUUCAUUGCCCGCACCUAACGCAUUAAGC
rnacentral:rRNA from 1 species